GCUCCGGUGGCCCAGUUGUUAGAGCGUACGCCCCGGAUGCGAAAGGUCGUGGGUUCGAAACUCGGCCGAGUCA